rnacentral:lncRNA from 1 species
GGGAGCUUCAGGGUGAAGCAGCAUGAGAAGGACUCAGCCACUUCUGGCUUUGAAGAUGGAGGAACGGGACAGCCUCUAGAAGCUGGAGAGGACGAGGAAAUUGUAACCCUCAUUAAACAUUCCAUUUGGGAAGUAUUUUAAAAGUAGGGAUAUUUUAAAAGAAAAAAACAUUAAGUUGACUAUUGUAAAGAAAUAGAUUCAUAGAACUUGAAAAGGUCAGAUACAAAAUGUUUAAAGUGAGUCUUUCAUGAACGGUUGUAGACUAUUCCAAGAAGUCUCAUCAUGGGCGGACAUGAAGCUUAGCUCUGUGCACGGCACUCACAAGGCAAUAAAAAAAAAUCCACUGAACAAAUGAAUGCAUAAACAUUUAAUUAGCUUGUGGAUAUGCAUAUGAGCAAAUGCGGCCUCAAAUGUUUUGGAGCGGGGCUGGCCGGUGGCGCAGCGGUUAAGUUCGCACCUUCAGCUUCUCGGUGUCCUGGGGCUCGCCGGUUCGGAUCCUGGUGCAGACAUGGUACCGGUUGGCACGCUAUGCUGUGGUAGGAGUCCCACGUAUAAAGUAAAGGAAGAUGGGCACGAUGUUAGCUCAGGGCCAGGCUUCCUCAGCAAAAAGAGGAGGACUGGCAGUAGUUAGCUCAGGGCUAAUCUUCCUCAAAAAAAAAAAAAAGUUUCGGAGUCUGUUUUAUCAUUCUCAUCACUUUAAAUUACAAGGCGCUUCUUUGUCUGGUUAGGAAGAAGCUGUCUUUGCCCUGUUCUCGGAUCUCCGUCCAUGGUUUUGGCUUCCCAAAACAGAGGUAGCAUAGCAUUAGCGGGUAAGAGUUCUGGUUUGGAAUCGGCAAGACCUGGAUUUGAUUCCAGCUCACCUGUUUAUCACCUGUCUGAAUUCAGGAAGAUUACACACCUGAGAUCAAGGAACCACUAAGAUUCAGUUCUAGAGCUGAAAAUUCUAACGAAAUCUAAAGGUGGAUUUUCCAGUUUGUUUCAGAAUGAUAGAAACCACCUGCAGGAUUCUCAGAAGCCCCUGAAGAGAAAUGUACUUGCCUAUAGGAAGUCACACAGAAUCCAAGUCAGAGAGGUAGAAGACGUCUUCUGUUGCCUUGCUGCCUUCGUUCAAGAUGUAGCGGAUCCUCAUCUCAUCAAUGUCAGCUAAUAAAAGAGUGAGCAUCUUACAGGUCAUAAAGGCACAGUAGAAAAUGAGUAUGUUAAGAAUUUCAGUGUUUUAAUAGGUCAUAAAAAUACUACAACAAAUAAAACUUAAAAUGAUUAAAUGAAGACGAAUCUAAAUUUUCAAAAAUGAUUAAAUGAACACUAAUCUAACUUUUUCUGAAAGUUACAAUGGCAAAAAUAGAACUUUAGUUUAAAACUUUGUUACUGUGCUCCUAUGUGCUCAAUCUCUGUGAUCAUGCCCAACAAGAAGGCCAUUC